rnacentral:rRNA from 1 species
UUAAGCAUAUCAAUAAGCGGAGGAAAAGAAACCAACAGGGAUUGCCCUAGUAACGGCGAGUGAAGCGGCAACAGCUCAAAUUUGAAAUCUGGCCCCAGGCCCGAGUUGUAAUUUGCAGAGGAAGCUUUGGGCGCGGCACCUACUGAGUCCCCUGGAACGGGGCGCCAAAGAGGGUGAGAGCCCCGUAUAGUGGGAUGCCCAGCCUGUGUAAAGCUCCUUCGACGAGUCGAGUAGUUUGGGAAUGCUGCUCAAAAUGGGAGGUAAAUUUCUUCUAAAGCUAAAUACCGGCCAGAGACCGAUAGCGCACAAGUAGAGUGAUCGAAAGAUGAAAAGCACUUUGAAAAGAGGGUUAAAUAGCACGUGAAAUUGUUGAAAGGGAAGCGCUCGUGACCAGACUUGCGCCGGGCUGAUCAUCCGGUGUUCUCACCGGUGCACUCUGCCCGGCUCAGGCCAGCAUCGGUUCUCGCGGGGGGAUAAAGGCGCCGGGAACGUGGCUCCCUCGGGAGUGUUAUAGCCCGACGCGCAAUGCCCUCGCGGGGACCGAGGUUCGCGCAUCUGCAAGGAUGCUGGCGUAAUGGUCAUCAGCGACCCGUCUUGAAACACGGACCAAGGAGUCAAGGUUUUGCGCGAGUGUUUGGGUGUCAAACCCGCACGCGUAAUGAAAGUGAACGUAGGUGAGAGCUUCGGCGCAUCAUCGACCGAUCCUGAUGUUUUCGGAUGGAUUUGAGUAGGAGCGUUAAGCCUUGGACCCGAAAGAUGGUGAACUAUGCUUGGAUAGGGUGAAGCCAGAGGAAACUCUGGUGGAGGCUCGCAGCGGUUCCUGACGUGCAAAUCGAUCGUCAAAUCUGAGCAUGGGGGCGAAAGACUAAUCGAACCAUCUAGUAGCUGGUUACCGCCGAAGUU